CAGCAAAGAGCCAGAACGGCUUGAUUCCUUUUCGAAUCAAUUGGCAUAUUGUUGCGAUGUUGUGUUUGCAAACUCGUAUUUCGAGUUAGGUAGGUUUCUACCAAGUUUUGUCUCCCGAGACGAAACAUAUACUUCCUGUAUUUAUUUUGACCUGUCUGUCAAAUUUUUUAGCACCGCCUAUAUGGCGGUGUUUUUUUAU
rnacentral:other from 1 species